ACCUGUUUUCGCAUUUAAUGAAGAUGAAGAUGCAUUGUUUGAGAGUAGGGUUGUUGAAGAUCCUGAACCUAUUUCUUCAGAGUUUCCAGUUCUGAAUCAAAAUGGCACAAAUGAUGAUGAAGAUGGUGUUCAGAAUUGUACUUUUACACAGUUCCAUACAACAUCAGAUUCAGAUCUGGUUCAAGUGGUGGAGGUGACGGUGGUUCCUCCUGCCGGAAAACCACUUAGUAGCUACUUGGCGGUGGUGGUCCAUGAGUGACGUGAAGCAUGGUGUGGUUCAUAUGACGGUUCGAUGUUUCAGAUUACGAGGUCGAUGUUGAACAACUGGUUAAGAUCUGAAGCAUUUAGUUCUUGUUUUCUGGAUAUGUUGUUUUUUAUUACUGAUUUUUUCAUUUUUUUGUGUAAAAUUUGUU